GAACAGGGCCAGGAACAGAACAGAAGGUGUCAGAGAAGGGACAGAGGGGGCUCCAGGUGCCCGGCAUCAAGUUCCUGACCCCAGGGGACACAGCAGUGCUCACUUGGGUCCUGCAAGAGGGCUUUGGCACCCACCUCCCAUCUCUGCAACGGGGCUUAAGAUCUGGGGCCCUGGGUGGGCGAUGACACCCUGCAGAGCCACAUCGCUCUCCGGCCAGCGAGGAGGGGGACCUGCUGUAGGACCGGGCAGCUGUGCCAUGUCCUCCCUCACACGCUGCCAGGUGCC
rnacentral:lncRNA from 1 species